rnacentral:rRNA from 1 species
GGCGAGGAAUCCUGGAAUGGGUCCUCACCCAAAGGACAUUGGAAACAUGCUUUCUCUGUCGCCUGGGGAUGGGGCCGCGACCGAUCAGGUUGUUGGUGAGGUAAUGGCUCACCAAGCCUUUAACCGGUACGGGCCGUGAGAGCGGUAGCCCGGAGAUGGGUACUGAGACAAGGACCCAGGCCCUACGGGGCGCAGCAGUCGCGAAAACUCCGCGAUGCACGAAAGUGUGACGGGGCUACCCCGAGUGCCGUCCGCUGAGGAUGGCUUUUCCUUGGUGUAACUAGCCGGGGGAAUAAGGAGAGGGCAAGACUGGUGUCAGCCGCCGCGGUAAUACCAGCUCUCCGAGUGGUAGGGAUGAUUAUUGGGCUUAAAGCGUCCGUAGCCGGCUUAGCAAGUUUCCUGUUAAAUUCAGCGACCUAAUCGUUGAGCCGCGGGAAAUACUACUAGGCUAGGAGGCGGGAGAGGUCGACGGUACUUCUGGGGUAGGGGUGAAAUCCUAUAAUCCCGGGAGGACCACCAGUGGCGAAGGCUGUCGACUAGAACGCGCUCGACGGUGAGGGACGAAAGCUGGGGGAGCGAACCGGAUUAGAUACCCGGGUAGUCCCAGCUGUAAACGAUGCGGGCUAGGUG